rnacentral:tRNA from 1 species
AGCGGGGUAGAGCAAUGGCAGCUCGCCGGGCCCAUAACCCGGAGGGUGUGGGUUCGAAUCCCACCCCCGCAA